rnacentral:rRNA from 1 species
CCUACGGGAGGCAGCAGUGAGGAAUAUUGGUCAAUGGACGCAAGUCUGAACCAGCCAAGUAGCGUGCAGGAUGACGGCCCUCCGGGUUGUAAACUGCUUUUAGUUGGGAAUAAAACAGGGUAUGCAUACCCUCUUGUAUGUACCAUAUGAAUAAGGAUCGGCUAACUCCGUGCCAGCAGCCGCGGUAAUACGGAGGAUCCGAGCGUUAUCCGGAUUUAUUGGGUUUAAAGGGAGCGUAGGUGGAUUGUUAAGUCAGUUGUGAAAGUUUGCGGCUCAACCGUAAAAUUGCAGUUGAAACUGGCAGUCGUGAGUACAGUAGAGGUGGGCGGAAUUCGUGGUGUAGCGGUGAAAUGCUUAGAUAUCACGAAGAACUCCGAUUGCGAAGGCAGCUCACUGGACUGCAACUGACACUGAUGCUCGAAAGUGUGGGUAUCAAACAGGAUUAGAUACCCGAGUAGUC